UACGUAGGCAGCAAGCGUUGUUCGGAGUUACUGGGCGUAAAGGGUGUGUAGGCGGUUGCUUAAGUUUGGUGUGAAAUCUCCCGGCUCAACUGGGAGGGUGCGCCGAAUACUGAAUGACUAGAGUGCGGGAGAGGAAAGUGGAAUUCCUGGUGUAGCGGUGAAAUGACGUAGAUAUCAGGAGGAACACCGGUGGUGUAGACGGCUUUCUGGACCGUAACUGACGCUGAGACACGAAAGCGUGGGUAGCAAACAGG
rnacentral:rRNA from 1 species